AAAAGAUAUCUAUUUUUUUAGAUAUUGCGAAUAUAGCAAAUUUAGUGAUAUUUGAUAUAGGUAAGAUCGGUUAAAAAUAAAAAAAUACUUUAAAAAAGAUUUAUUAUUUAUUAUUUUUUAAAUUAUUUGCCAUCCAUAUAACGAGAAAAAAAGCCCACGGUAAGCCCAUGGUUGUAUUUUUGUAAAUUACAGUUUUGCCCUUGUGGUUUCUAAAUUUCGCAAGACGUCUUCUUCAUCUCAUGCGACACUUCUCGUUCUUCAUAUUCCUCACGGGCGGCGGGUUGCAUCGGGAGUCAGUCACGGGCAGUAGGUUUUGACGGUGGCAUAUCCUUCUUCAUCCUACUCACGGCGGCAACGACAAUGAAUAUGAGUUCUGAUAGAAUUGAAUAAAAAGAAGAAUUGCAAAAGAAGAGGCGGAGAAGAAAAUCUGUUGUCGCUGCCUCCGCCCAAACCUAUCGUCCGAUGCAACUCACUGGCCAUGAGGAAUAUGAAGAAGGAGAAGUGCGUGAGAUGAAGAAGAAGACGUCCUUCAAAAUUCAAAAACCAGCAUGUCUAACUUUGUAAUUUAUGAAAAUUCUAACGCCGUAAUUUAUAAAAUGGAAAAUUGUAAGAAAUAGAGGAUAUUUAGUUUCCAUAAAAGUGCAAUAAAUUUUGGGCUUAUGGCUCUUCCUCUUC